CGCCUUGCCAGCCCGCUCAGAACUCAAAGGAAUUGACGGGGGCCCGCACAAGCGGUGGAGCAUGUGGUUUAAUUCGAUGAUACGCGAGGAACCUUACCUGGGCUCAAAUGUAUGUUGACGUAUUCUGAAAGGGAUACUUCUUCGGACAAUAUACAAGGUGCUGCAUGGUUGUCGUCAGCUCGUGCCGUGAGGUGUCGGGUUAAGUCCCAUAACGAGCGCAACCCCUAUCAUUAGUUGCCAUCAGGUCAAGCUGGGGACUCUAAUGAAACUGCCUACGCAAGUAGUGAGGAAGGUGGGGAUGACGUCAAAUCAGCACGGCCCUUACGUCCAGGGCUACACACGUGCUACAAUGGCCGGUACAACGGGCAGCGAAGGAGCGAUCCGGAGCGAAUCCUAAAAAGCCGGUCCCAGUUCGGAUUGCAGGCUGAAACUCGCCUACAUGAAGUUGGAGUUGCUAGUAAUCGCGAAUCAGAAUGUCGCGGUGAAUGCGUUCCCGGGUCUU
rnacentral:rRNA from 1 species